CGGACGCGCUUUCCAACUUAGAGCCAAACGCAAAACCCAAGCGGAACAUAAAAAGCAACCUACCUUUAAAAAAAAGUCUUUCACGGAUUGGCCUGCUCAUAACUCAGGAGAGAGCGGUCCUGGAUAUUUCAGCCCAGAAGAACAGACUGAGGUUUUUGAAUCUACGUUAGACACGGGAAUCGUAUGGCAGAGGGGAAAACACUGUUCCUGAAUCGCUGAGUGUGUGCCUUCAGGCUCCUUCCUGACAGAAACAAUGAGAAGAGGGCAUGCCCUGGGUGGUGGGAGUUCUUAAUAAUGGAUGUUGCCUUUCUGAGGCAUAGCUCCUUGAAGAUGUCUUGGAAUGGUAACAGUAAAUUGAAUGUUUGGAUGUACACUGUUCAGAUGGUCAUGGAACUGUUGGAGAGCCUGGAGUCCAU